AGGCGGAGACACAAGGCUCCGUUCCACUGGGCACGCCAGCGGGUAGGGGUGGGGGCGGGGAGGUGCGCGCGCAGCGUGGGAGGAGGCCAACUCUCGGGGCGCUCCCUAGCCCUGGGUGGGUGGAGCGGGGGAAGCGGAGUACGUUGGACCCGGCUCCGCCCUACCCCACGGGGCCGCCUGGAGAGGUGCUGGGAGCUGGGUGGAGCUUAGAGGAAUUAAACUUUGGCCCUGCGCCUCGUCCAGCCUAGGUUCCACCCUUUUCUGGGAACGUGAGUAUCAACCAAGAAUGAAUCUCGCUGUGUUGUCCAGGCUGGAGUGCAGUGGCACCAUCUCGGCUCACUGCAACCUCUGGCUCCCAGGUUCAAGCGAUUCUCCUGCCUCAGCCCCCUGAGUAGCUGGGAUUACAGGCACGCGCCACCACUCCCAGUUUACACCCCGCCACUCCUGAGCACCGCACACCGGCUUCCUCCCAGUCCCUCAUCUGAGAACUCAUGAAGCCACUUGGAAUCCCUCUCUGCUUUGCCUGGCUCAUUCCAUGUCAAUUUCAGAUCUUCACUUCAGGUCAGCUCCAAGGAGGCUAUCCUUGCCCAUCUUCCUAAAAUAGAGCUCUCAAAACCUGGCUGUUUUCCUUCAGAGCACUGGCCUCCAAUUGCUCCGGUAGAUUGCAAAUGACCUGCUUUCUUUCUGUUCCCGGGCGUUUGGACCCCUGUCUUGGACCGCUGUCGGAUAGUAAAUCCCAAGUAAGGUACCUGCCGUCGGCAGAUUUGAGCUUUCUUCUUGGACACCUAAUACCCAGAGUCCUCCAGGCUCCGGUAGAUUGCAAAUGACCUGCUUUCUUUCUGUUCCCGGGCGGCAUCGGACCCGUCGGAGAGUAAAUCCCAAGUAAGGUACCUGCCGUUGGCAGAUUUGAGCUUUCUUCUUGGACACCUAAUACCCACAGUCCUCCAGGUGAGUCCUAAGUAUCUUAGGAUCCGCGAUGGGGGUCCUAAGGCAGGGGGGGAAGAGGGGAUGGCUGUCACCCAACCCAAAAUGGGCGGCCUUUAUGUUCAGGUUUUGCCCAAGAGUCAGCUUAUUUGCUUCUUGUACUAUCAGGGCAGUUGAUGCCACGGCCCUCAAACAGGGGGGCCAUCCUUUAGAAACCCUCUCUAGUUGUUUAGAGACGUAGGACAUUGGCCUCAUCCAGGGCCCCAGAGUUUCGGUUAAAAGUCCAGCUGCCAUCUUUUCUCUAUCUGACGCGUUCAACGGAAAAGGCUUUGUCAGAUCGGGUAGCCCCAGGGCUGGGGCUGCCAGAAGUUUUUCCUUUAACUCAUGAAAGACUUGCUGUUGUUGGGAUCCCUAUUCCAAAGGUUCCCGGUCCCCGCCCCCUUUGUGACCUCAUACAAAGGCUUGGCUAACACUGCAAAGUUUGGGAUGCACAGUCUAUAAAACCCCACAGCCCCUGAGAAUUCCCUCACCUGCCUUCUGCCCUUAGGCUCCGGUAGAUUGCAAAUGACCUGCUUUCUUUCUGUUCCCGGGCUGCGUUCGGACCCCUGUCGGAUAGUAACUCCCAAGUAAGGUACCUGCCGUCGGCAGAUUGGAGCUUUCUUCUUGGAGACCUAAUACCCACAGUCCUCCAGAAAAACAAACAAAGACAUGGAUUUACUGUGCAUAUUAGCAGAUCCAUACUGGAAAAUGCAUGGAGGUUUCAUAUACACCACUUACAGUUUUCAGCUCCUCAGUAGUGACAAAGCCAUACCCAUCAUUGUCGAUUCGAUCAACAAUCUUCCCUAGCCUCUCCUUGCUCUCGUCCGGGGUGAGCUCGUCGAAGUUCUUGGAGUCCUCCUUGCCCAGGAAGGCCUCGUGGUCGUACUGGAAGCUCUGGUUGUCCUCAGGGGGCCGCUCGCCCAGCUCCGAGUCGGGCCGCACCACGCGCUCUUUGCGCACCGUGGGCUUGGCCCGCAGAACCCGCGGCGCCAGCACCAGCGCCAGCAGCAGCCCCAGGGCUAACCCCAGGCGGCCACCGCGCGCCAUCGUCCCGAGGAGAGGGCGGCCGGGAGGGAGACGCUGAGCGAGCGACAACAGCGGCAGCUCGGGAAUGGGGGCUCGGAGCGCGGCGGCCAAGUUUUAUGUUAUGUAUAUUUUACAAGUAAAAAAAUUUUUUCACCUCAGCCUGA
rnacentral:lncRNA from 1 species